rnacentral:rRNA from 1 species
UACGUAGGUGGCAAGCGUUGUCCGGAUUUACUGGGCGUAAAGAGCGCGCAGGCGGUCGUUCAAGUCGAGUGUGAAAGCCCCCGGCUCAACUGGGGAGGGUCACUCGAUACUGAUCGACUCGAAGGCAGAAGAGGGAAGCGGAAUUCCCGGUGUAGUGGUGAAAUGCGUAGAUAUCUGGAGGAACACCGGUGGCGAAGGCGGCAUUCUGGACCGAUAUUGACGCUGAGGAGCGAAAGCCAGGGGAGCAAACGGG